UAGGAGUAAAUUUAUGUCUAAACCUUGUUAUUUCCCCCCCCCCCAAACAUGUAUGUUUCUGUGCAUCUCUGUUCAAAGCUUCUCUGAUCCCAGGUUUUGCUCACUCCUUUGCAGUUAUUCCAGUAGAACCAAUAACCCACCCCAGAAAUGUAUCUGCUUCAAGAGCUGGUGAUAGAACACUGACGCAAUAAUUCAACCACCUUUUGGUAAUGCUGCCUGUUUUUCUACAUAACAUCCUUUUUGCUUCUAAUGCAUACAUGACAGAGGAAAUAAGGUCUUUGAUCCUUACUGUUUCCCCGCUCUUGGAAUAUCCACUUUUGUGCCAACCCUGUAAGACUACACACUGUAAGUAAUUCAUUAUUCACACAAAAGGCCAAAAGUAUUCUCAAAUCUUAUUUACUUAGUACUUCUUAAACCCUUUUUUAAUCUUGCUUUAUAGAAAGAAACUAUGACAGCUAUAUUUGUAUUUAGCCCUACAUAUGUGAAAUACCUUUCAGAUUAAACAGAGUACUCUAACAAUUGUAAUUUCCCACAGGAUCUUAGUUUCCUCUCUCCAAUUUCUUAUUAACAGAUCAGUUACAGAGGUCCCAACUUAAAAACUAUGAGAGUGAGCUAUAUUUAGAUUCCCUGCCCUAAACCCAUCAGUUAUAAUACAAACUAUUAUUUUAUUAUUCUCACCAACUACAGAAGUUAUUUAUCAAAAUAAUUGUUUAAAGAACUCAAGAAACAGGCAAAGGAUGACUACAGAGCACCCUGAGGUCAACACAAGAUCUUUCUAUCUCGACAGAAGGAAAAUGUUGAGGUAAGGUCACACAGACUUUAGAAGGUCUGAAAUGGGCCUGGAAAUUCCAGGAAAACCAGAUCUCUUUUGAAACUUUCAAGUUCCCGCUAAGUUUGGCCAUACAUGUAACACAGUUAUUCAGUCUUCUCUCAGAAAAGUUAAUGCUUUUGUCUGGAGCCAAGAAUUUCAAAGAAUCAAGAAAAUUAAUAGGAGGUAGUGGGAAGCAAUAAUAGUUAACAGAGAUGUUUGUUUAAAGUUUGAGUUGUGUGUUGAGUUACAGGUUGCGUUAAUUUGUUUUUAAUGGAAGUAUAAUUCCAAUCAGAAGUCAAACUAAUCUUCUACCACAAAGAUUGAUAAUUUCUGUUCCAAAGAAAUCAAUUUCUGAGAUACCAGAAGCGCUGCAGCAGGAACGCAAGGGUUCUCAAACUACCAUACUGGAAAAUGUUCAAAUGACAACUGAGAGGGGCUAUUUGGAGACUGCCUUGAUCCAGCUGUGGAAUCUGCAGAAGUAUAAGGAAUGAGAGAGACAGAUGGGUGAAGAGACACCAGAUAAAACCUACAGUCUUGCUUUCUGAGCACUGGGAGAAGUUCUGCAAAGUUCUGUGUAGUCAGCUCUAACACUACCAUCCAAAACAUGUCAUCUAACUGACCUGUUUCCUCAGCAGGCAUUUCAUUACACCUAUCCUCUCCCUUGACGGGCACUACCUUCCCAUCUGGUGGUGCCCAAUACAGAGAAAAUCUAAAUUGUUCACAUAGACAAGACUCCUAACUCUUACAUGGUAAAAUUCACCAGACAGGAGUGACACCAUCAGAAGCAUCUUCUCCAUCCUCUUCCUUUUUAGCUGCCUUAAAAUACUGUAACAAAAAGCUUAGGCAACUGCUAUGAUUCAUACUGAUGGUUUUCCACGCAAAUGAUUAUCAUAGUGGUGUGCUGAAGAACAGGAGAAAUAGCUGCAUGAGCAUGUAAAAAGGAAAUGUCCAAAUGUCAUUCUUUCUAGUAAGACGUAAUCAACCUUGGGAAAUUGGGAAUAUCGUGCCUUGAGCUAGAUGUAUACUGAAGGAUGUUUUAAAUUAAUUAACUGGCACAAAAGAUCAGCUGGUCCAAAGUGGUGAAGCUUUAUUCACUUCAAUGCCAGCUGGUUAUGUGCAAGGAAAUUUGUACUGAAGUUAAGGCAGUGUGAUUUCCACACUACAAGAAUGCUUUACAAACCUAUCAUCUUUGUGGGUUUAAUGAUUCAAUACUUUGAGCAACAUUAGGAAGGAUUUAAACUCUCUCUGGUCACUUCUGAGCCAUUCCUGCAAACUCCUCUAGAUUAAGUGAAAAAGCUUUGAGAUCAAUCAGUGCCCACUGACACAAACAGAAAACUUCCACAGUCAUAGAUCUGUGCAGCCCUUCUUGCAAUAACAACAUCCUUUCUAAAGCAGGGUAUAAGAAAGUCCACACUAACCCCUAACUGACUCUUUGGGACAUAGCAUAUAGUGAGAAUAAUAGCCUAUAGUAAGCUUGCUACUUUUAGUAGCAAGGAAGUACGUCCCGUAACAACGUGCUUCUUGAAAGCUUCCAUCUCCUUCAAAUAGCAUUUGUCAGGGCAACUUCCAGUUACAGAACUCUUCCUACCCUGGCUAAUUGCCUUUUAAUUACUGAUUGUUUCUUACUAUGUUUCUAACAUUAAUUCAGAGGGGAUGUCACUUCAAGAUAUCAAAGACCACUAGAUGCUCCUAUGAAAAAUGGAGAAUUGACUUGAUACAUUUCAAUUAUGCCCUAUAGCGCUGAAUAUGGGCUGAAAAUUGGAGAUGGGAUGAUUCAGUGAAGGGAACACUGCAUAAUUAGCUUGUAACCUUAUACCUGUUUUUUUGACAUAGUAGCAGUUUUGUUGCUGAAUUUUAUUGGAACAGUGCAGAAAAGUUGCUGCGAUUUGUGUUCCAGAGGUGGGCUUCUUGCCCUCAGUACUGUUGAAAACUCUCUACAAAUGUCAAACCUGGCAUUUACUCAAGGGUGUUACUCUCCAGAUUUUAAUGGACUUUUCCUAAAGCAGCCAGAGGAGAAAGGUGAAUGUCCUCUGUUUUUCAGUUUCUGCCAGGCUAAUAAUAUGCUUUUGUACAACCUAAGUGUCUUGGGCUUUCUUUGUUUGUCAGGAUGUUUGUUUUAAGAUGCAGAAGAACAGAAACAAGCCAGAAAAGAAAUUAAAAGCAACAAAUAAUAAAAACAAAACUCUGCUUUUGUUGUUCUUUGUUUUCCCCACACUGUUAACUUGAAGCCCUCUGGGGCAGGUGAAACAAACAGCUGUCUUGGCUGCAAUGCAGUCAGAAUCUUCUCCUACAAAGCCAACUGCAAGCAUGGGGAGAUUGAGAAUCUAUUAGAAAUACCUGGCCUGACGUCACUGUGAAUUUAAAGUGAUAAAAUUAAGGGGCCAUUUGGCAGCACUUACAGAACUUUUCACUAACUGACCUCUCUACAGUUGUGAAUUUUUAUAUAAAAUGCCACAGGCGAUGAACAAUCAAAGUAGGAAUUGAAAGCAUCUUUUCCCCUUCUGUAGUGAACAUAAUUAUCUCUGUGAAAACUGGUGGUAAGCUGCAUCCUCAGUAAAGUUUGGCUGUAUAGUUAAGGUAUGAGGCAAUAAACAGGGUGACAGGAAUACAGACUCAUCCAAAUGUGAAGACUCUACUGCAAUCAUUGGCUGUCUUUACACAAACAUAUAUAGAUCUGUUUACAUAUUCAGUUUGCCUAGAAGUUGCUUUAUGUGCCACAGAACCACUUUCAUAUGGAUAGAGACCUCACAAAGAAGUCAGGCUUCAUGCAGCAGAAUCUUACAUUUAAUAAAGUGCUAUUUUUAUACAUACCUACAGAUGCUGGCAUUUCUCCCCACUGUAAAACAGUCUCCUUUGUGAAAUGCCCGUAUAUAUCAAUGUAGAUGCCUUCAUCUUCGUAGGAAGCGUAUGACUGGAGUUUUAUAUCAUUCUCACAAGCCAACAACACACAGAUCUUCUCUUCAAGCACAUACAUUAACGCACACUGUGAGGGCACAAUGAACAGGAAAAGAAGCACUGAAGCUGUACUUGCCAAACUGAAUACACUCAGGCCAACCACUUGACUCCGUGCCUCCGCAACAACUAUCCGUAACACUAGAACGGGGAUCCAGAGUCGCAGAGCAAUUUUAAUGCGUUGCCUUGGUACUUGCAUGAGCGAUCGGAGCAGGUAAGAGAUGAAGAAAGAGGUGGGGAACCAGGAAAAGAGGCUACCAGGAAGAGUAUCUCAAGUCAGCCUGUUAAAGUCUGGUCUGUUGCCACCACAAAGCUCCUUGAGAGAAUUAUCCAAUUCUAGCAGAUGCUCUUUAAAGUAAUAAAAUACCCAAAAAGACAGA